rnacentral:rRNA from 1 species
GGCAUGCGGCCGCUUAACAUGCAGUCGAGCGGUAAGGCCCUUCGGGGUACACGAGCGGCGAACGGGUGAGUAACACGUGGGUGAUCUGCCUUGCACUUCGGGAUAAGCCUGGGAAACUGGGUCUAAUACCGGAUAUGACCCCGGAAUGCAUGUUCUGGGGUGGAAAGAUUUAUCGGUGCGAGAUGGGCCCGCGGCCUAUCAGCUUGUUGGUGAGGUAACGGCUCACCAAGGCGACGACGGGUAGCCGACCUGAGAGGGUGACCGGCCACACUGGGACUGAGACACGGCCCAGACUCCUACGGGAGGCAGCAGUGGGGAAUAUUGCACAAUGGGCGCAAGCCUGAUGCAGCGACGCCGCGUGCGGGAUGACGGCCUUCGGGUUGUAAACCGCUUUUGACAGGGACGAAGCGCAAGUGACUGUACCUGUAGAAUAAGGACCGGCCAACUACGUGCCAGCAGCCGCGGUAAUACGUAGGGUCCGAGCGUUGUCCGGAAUUACUGGGCGUAAAGAGCUUGUAGGCGGUUCGUCGCGUCGUUUGUGAAAACUUGGGGCUCAACCUUAAGCUUGCAGGCGAUACGGGCGGACUAGAGUACUUCAGGGGAGACUGGAAUUCCUGGUGUAGCGGUGAAAUGCGCAGAUAUCAGGAGGAACACCGGUGGCGAAGGCGGGUCUCUGGGAAGUAACUGACGCUGAGAAGCGAAAGCAUGGGUAGCAAACAGGAUUAGAUACCCUGGUAGUCCAUGCCGUAAACGGUGGGUACUAGGUGUGGGGCUCCUUCCACGGACUCCGUGCCGUAGCUAACGCAUUAAGUACCCCGCCUGGGGAGUACGGCCGCAAGGCUAAAACUCAAAGAAAUUGACGGGGGCCCGCACAAGCGGCGGAGCAUGUGGAUUAAUUCGAUGCAACGCGAAGAACCUUACCUGGGUUUGACAUACACCGGAAACCUGCAGAGAUGUAGGCCCCCUUGUGGUCGGUGUACAGGUGGUGCAUGGCUGUCGUCAGCUCGUGUCGUGAGAUGUUGGGUUAAGUCCCGCAACGAGCGCAACCCUUAUCUAUGUGCCAGCGCGUAAUGGCGGGGACUCGUGAGAGACUGCCGGGGUCAACUCGAGAGUGGGGACGACGUCAAGUCAUCAUGCCCUUAUGUUCAGGCUUCCACCAUGCUACAAUGGCCGGUACAGAUGU